rnacentral:rRNA from 1 species
UUAAAGCUGAGGCGGUUAAAGAUGGGCAUGCGUGACAUUAGUUAGUUGGCGGGGUAACGGCCCACCAAGGCGACGAUGUCUAGGGGUUCUGAGAGGAAGGUCCCCCACACUGGUACUGAGACACGGACCGGACUCCUACGGGAGGCAGCAGUGAGGAAUAUUGGUCAAUGGACGCAAGUCUGAACCAGCCAUGUCGCGUGCAGGAUGACUGCCCUAUGGUUAGUCCACUGAAACUGUAUGGGAAGAAAAGUUAGCUACGCGUAGCUAUUUGCCGGUACCAUACGAAUAAGCAUCGGGUAACUCCGUGCCAGCAGCCGCGGUAAUGCGGAGGGAUGCGAGCGGUUAUCCGGAUUUAUUGGGUUUACAGGGUGCGCAGGCGGAAUGGUAAAGUCAGCGGUGAAAGUCUGCAGCUCAACUGUAGUUGUGCCGGUUGAUACUAUCAUUCUUGAGUAUAGAUGAGGUAAGGCGGAAUGAAGUAGUGUAAGCGGUGAAAUGCUUAGAUAUUUACUCAGAACACCGAUUGCGAAGGCAGCUUACUAAACUAUAACUGACGCUGAGGCACGAAAGCGUGGGUAUCAAACAGGAUUAGAUACCCUGGUAGUCCACGCCGUAAACGAUGAUUACUGGUUGUUUGCAAUAGACCGCAAGCGACUGAGCGAAAGCAUUAAGUAAUCCACCUGGGGAGUACGUUGGCAACAAUGAAACUCAAAGGAAUUGACGGGGGCCCGCACAAGCGGUGGAACAUGUGGUUUAAUUCGAUGAUACGCGAGGAACCUUACCUGGGCUUAAAUGGAGAAUGACAGNGGGUGGAAACACCCUUUUCUUCGGACAUUUUUCAAGGUGCUGCAUGGUUGUCGUCAGCUCGUGCCGUGAGGUGUCGGGUUAAGUCCCAUAACGAGCGCAACCCCUGUUGUCAGUUACCAGCACGUAAAGGUGGGGACUCUGGCAAGACUGCCGGUGUAAACCGCGAGGAAGGUGGGGAUGACGUCAAAUCAGCACGGCCCUUACGUCCAGGGCUACACACGUGUUACAAUGGCAGGUACAAAGGGCAGCUACACAGCAAUGUGAUGCUAAUCUCGAAAGCCUGUCCCAGUUCAGAUUGGAGUCUGCAACCCGACUUCAUGAAGCUGGAAUCGCUAGUAAUCGCGCAUCAGCCAUGGCGCGGUGAAUACGUUCCCGGGCCUUGUACACACCGCCCGUCAAGCCAUGGAAGCCGGGAGUACCUGAAGUUCGAACCGCGAGGAGCGACCUA